rnacentral:rRNA from 1 species
AGGAGAAUUUAGAUUUGGGUUUUUUUUUGGGGCAGCUAGGGGGGGGGGUUAGACAAUAUGUUUGCGGAUAUAUAAGAGCCAAUAGUGAGAUACCACUCUUGAUAAACUAGACUUCUAAUUUUGAAUGCCAUUAGCUGGCCAAAAAACAGUUCCAGGUGGGCAGUUUGACUGGGGCGGUCGCCUCCUAAAAAGUAACGGAGGCGCGCAAAGGUUCCCUCAGGCUGGUCGGAAAUCAGUCGUAGAGUGUAAAGGCAUAAGGGAGCUUGACUGCAAGACCUACAAGUCGAGCAGAGACGAAAGUCGGCCUUAGUGAUCCGACGGUACCGAGUGGAAGGGCCGUCGCUCAACGGAUAAAAGUUACUCUAGGGAAACAGGCUGAAAA